ACGUGACAGCAGCCUCUGCCUCCUCCAGCCCGCCGUCUCCCUCCCUCCCUCCACUCAACGGUGUUGCCGCUCUUUGCGCUGUCCCCUCCACCUCCCUACCUCUCCUCUCCUCUCCCCUAUCUGCGGCUGCCGCACCCGAUAGCAUGAUGACUUGGUGCGGAGGAGGAGAACAACCUUGUGUGCCUCGCCUAGCUCCACGCCCGCGCCGGGUGGCCGGUGGAGGAGGAGGAGGAGGGCACGGCUGCAGCGCUGGGGAAAUGGAGAUCGGGUGGCCCACUGACGUCCGCCACGUCGCGAACAUCACCUUCGACCGCUUCCAUGGCUUCCUCGACCUCCCAGUCGAGUUCGAGGUCGAGAUGCCCUGCUGCGUCCCCAGUGCCAGGUUAUCCCAAGAGAGUGUUUUUACCUUGCAGUAGAUUGCUUCAAUGGGAAAGAAAAACUGGAAGAGAAAGAUGCCUGAGGCCAAGAAUAUGAAAGUAGCAGGUGCCAUACUAUUUUGUUGAAUUUGUACAUUGAUAGCUCCAGAUCUAUACAAUGAUCUCAUAUAAAUUCAGACAUCCAGCACCAUUUUUCGCAUUGUCUUAUCAGGCAUCACUGUAAUCGUCGAAUAUGUUAGCUUAUCUUCAUGUCAGUUCCAUUAUGAACUCAUCAAUUUUAUAUGCUGUGUGUGAGAGGCUGCCCAAAUGCUCAACAUAGUGUAUCAAGGUAUUGCUAUUUUUAUUUCCAUACCCAUAUUGGUGAAAAGUAGCUGCAGCUCCACCUUAUACAACCAUCAUAUUUGGAUAGCUUACCUUUAUUAGAGGCUACAGAGCAAUAUUAGGUACUAGAUUUUGGGCAUCAACCCAAUCGAUGAUGAGCAUAAGACUAUUUCAUGUCUUCUUUUCAAAGCACACUGAUAGAUGGGAAAUUUUAGCCAUUUUAAGCAUGAUAUUUCAUGCAUGCUGCUAAAGUAUUUGGUUCUCCAUUGCCACUGAAGGAUAGCAGCAACAAAAUUCUAAUGUUUUUGGGCAGCCUCUGCUGCCUAGCUGUGCAAUAGUUGUGCCCAUCCAUAAGUCAUAACAUUUACCAGUCUUUCAAUCUCAAAUAGGAAUACACAAUUAUAAAUCAAUUGAUCAAUAGAUAUUAAGAGCAUUAGUGCCUAGUGGUGUGCUCUAAUUUAUAUGUGGUUAUGAUACAAGAGUUGCCAAAGUAGCCAUUAAUUUUCUUGAAUUGAUUUGUAAUAGAUUUUUUUUACGAAGACUUCAGAACUUGUAUACACUUCUUUACCUAUGCACUUUUAAAUGUUAAAUUUCCAAAAUAAUAUACUGUAUCGAUGAUGGGUCAUAGGGCGCACCAACAGCGUGCCAUUUUUCUAGUGUUGUAAUCAAGCCCUGAAUCAUGGACUCUUCAUCCGAUUCCGAAGCAGCGCAGGUUUCUAGGUCAGGCUUUCUUUCCGGAAACACAACCAGAACCUUGCACUUAGAUGAAUAUACGCAGUAGGUCUCCCAAAUCGAUCAAGACCCAAAACCUCACUAAACCCCAAUGACAAUUGACAAGAAGCAGGGGGCGGACGUAGCGUGUGAAAUUAGGCGUUUAGUUGAACCCCCAAAUUCUUUGGAAAAUAAACUGCACCACACAUUUGCUCCCAAGUCCUAUGGCUAUGGUGUCAAUCGAGAUCAUCUUGCGCGCGCUAAAGAAGAACUUAAUAGAAACCUAACAAUAUGGGCCAUAUAAUGGGUA